rnacentral:rRNA from 1 species
CCUACGGGAGGCAGCAGUGAGGAAUAUUGGUCAAUGGGCGCGAGCCUGAACCAGCCAAGUAGCGUGAAGGAUGACUGCCCUACGGGUUGUAAACUUCUUUUAUAUAGGAAUAAAGUGAGGUAUGUGUGCCUUUUUGUAUGUAUUUUAUGAAUAAGGAUCGGCUAACUCCGUGCCAGCAGCCGCGGUAAUACGGAGGAUCCGAGCGUUAUCCGGAUUUAUUGGGUUUAAAGGGAGCGUAGAUGGGUUGUUAAGUCAGUUGUGAAAGUUUGCGGCUCAACCGGAAGAGUGCAGUGGAUACUGGGAGCCUUGAGUGCAGAAGAGGAAGGUGGAAUUCGGUGUGUAGCGGUGAAAUGCGUAGAUAUCUGGAAGAACACCGGUGGCGAAGGCAGCCUGCUGGACUGUAACUGACGCUGAUGUUCGAAAGCGUGGGUAGCAAACAGGAUUAGAUACCCUGGUAGUC